rnacentral:lncRNA from 1 species
AAGAAAUGACAAAGUAUUUCAGCAGAUAUAAUUAAAGCUAGAGAUGACAUAUGAAGAGUACAUUCAGUUAUGAGGAAAAAAGUAGUACCCCAAUAUAACUGGCAAACACAUAAAUAAAGUUGCAGAACUUUAUUUAGAAGAAGAACUAUUAGGCAAACAGUAAAAAUAUUUGUGGUUGCUAAUAUCAGAGAAUGCAGUUUAAAAGGCAAAAUAAGUUAUUUUUCCACUCAAAUUAGUUAAAGGAAAUGAUUGAGAGGGUAUAAUGAAAAUAGCACUUUCACACCUUGCAAGUGGAAAGACAUGAUGCAACCGUCUUGAAAAACAACGUGGCAACGUGAAUCAAGAGCCAUAAAAAGAUUUACACUAUUUUAACUAAAUGGCUGUAAUGUCAGCUGAAAUAUGAAAUUUUCUUCUGCGCACCAAUAUUUUCGAGAAUGUCAUAUGCUCAAGCAGUGUGUGAUGAGGAAUCUGAGAUCCAGGCAACCGAAUGGUUAAGGUUAUGCGAGCUCCAGAGACAUCAGAUUGUAAAUGACACCCGCACUGGGGGACACCAUUCACAUGAUCUAAGUUUAACCACAAUUAGUACAACCUUGUCAAUUAACAGAACUCUUGGGACAAAAAUCCUGAUCUCUGAACUCCUGGGCUGGGG